UCGCCAAGACCCAUGCCAGAGGCCACAGCGGCUUGGGCAGGAAAGUAGCAGGGGAGGUGGGAGGGGUCACCAGUGUCAAGACCUAUUUGGACGGCAGAGCUGAAAGGCCUUGCUGAUGGGCUGGACACGGGUGUGAGUGGAAACACAGGUCAAGGUUGACCGCAAGGUUUUUGCUUCAACUGGAGGGAUAGACUCAGGACCCGCCCCGACGGGGAGGCUGCAGGUGAGGUGUCAGAAGCCUGGACACGUUGGAGACAUCUCGGAAAUGUUAGGUGCACAACAGAGUGAUUCGACACUUAUAUGCAUUACCAAACGCUCGCCAUGCAGUCAGAAGGAAGGACUGCAGAGGGAGAAGUGUGUGUGCACGCACACGGGUGUGCUCGCUUGAAGAAAUUAAAGUUCGAAUGAUUUGUAAACGUGUAUAUAAACACAAGAAAAGUCUGGAAAGAGCUACAAAAAUAUUACCAAUGGAUCUGGGUGGUGAGAUUGCAGAUUUGCUUUAACAAGCAAGAAGAAAACAGAAUAGCAUUUUCCCAUCCAUGCAAAGGAGAUGAAUUCUGACCAAAGGAAAGGGGGUGGGGAGCAUCUCAUUGGAGACAAGAUGGAGAGGCUUGAAUAUGUAAAAAAAAA